GAUGAACGCUGGCGGCGUGCUUAACACAUGCAAGUCGAACGAAGCACUGUUGAUAGAUUCUUCGGAUGAUAGAUACAGUGACUGAGUGGCGGACGGGUGAGUAACGCGUGGGUAACCUGCCUCAUACAGGGGGAUAACAGUUAGAAAUGACUGCUAAUACCGCAUAAGCGCACAGGACCGCAUGGUCUGGUGUGAGAAACUCCGGUGGUAUGAGAUGGACCCGCGUCUGAUUAGCUAGUUGGUGGGGUAACGGCCCACCAAGGCGACGAUCAGUAGCCGCACUGAGAGGGGGACCGGCCACAUUGGGACUGAGACACGGCCCAAACUCCUACGGGAGGCAGCAGUGGGGAAUAUUGCACAAUGGGCGAAAGCCUGAUGCAGCGACGCCGCGUGAGCGAAGAAGUAUUUCGGUAUGUAAAGCUCUAUCAGCAGGGAAGAAAAUGACGGUACCUGACUAAGAAGCACCGGCUAAAUACGUGCCAGCCGCCGCGGUAAUAC
rnacentral:rRNA from 1 species